rnacentral:rRNA from 1 species
ACGUCUGCACCUUUCAGGUGUAGAUCAGUUGACUGUCAUACUUCCAAGAAAAGCUCGAACUACUGUAAAACAUCACGUACCUGUACCGUAAACCGACACAGGUGGGUUGGUAGAGUAUACCAAGGGGCGCGAGAUAACUCUCUCUAAGGAACUCGGCAAAAUGACCCCGUAACUUCGGGAGAAGGGGUGCCAAGUAACUUAAAUUGCUUGGUCGCAGUGACCAGGCCCUGGCGACUGUUUAUCAAAAACACAGGUCUCCGCAAAGUCGUAAGACAACAUAUGGGGGCUGACGCCUGCCCAGUGCCGGAAGGUUAAAGAAGUUGGUUAUUCAUUCGUGGAGAAGCUGACGACUGAAGCCCCGGUGAACGGCGGCCGUAACAAUAACGGUCCUAAGGUAGCGAAAUUCCUUGUCGGGUAAGUUCCGACCCGCACGAAAGGCGUAACGAUCAGGGCACUGUCUCGGAGAGAGACUCGGUGAAAUAGACAUGUCUGUGAAGAUGCGGACUACCUGCACCUGGACAGAAAGACCCUAUGAAGCUUGACUGUAGCUUGGAAUUGGGUUCGGGCUCUUCUUGCGCAGCCUAGGUGGGAGGCGUUGAAGGUUUUCUUUUGGGAAAGCUGGAGCCAUCAGUGAGAGACCACUCUGGAGGAGCUAGAAUUCUAAUGGCGUUCCUUGAAGCAGGACGCUUGACAUUUUCAGGUGGGCAGUUUGACUGGGGCGGUCACCUCCUAAAAGGUAACGGAGGUGUGCAAAGGUUCCCUCAGGCUGGACGGAAAUCAGCCGUAGAGUGUAAAGGCAGAAGGGAGCUUGACUGCAAGACCUACAAGUCGAGCAGGGGCGAAAGCCGGCCUUAGUGAUCCGACGGUUCCAUGUGGAAGGGCCGUCGCUCAACGGAUAAAAGUUACUCUAGGAUAACAGGCUGAUCUUCCCCAAGAGUUCACAUCGACGGGAAGGUUUGGCACCUUGAUGUCGGCUCAUCGCAACCUGGGGCGGUAGUACGUCCCAAGGGUUGGGCUGUUCCCCAUGAAAGCGGUACGUGAGCUGGGUUCAGAACGUCGUGAGACAGUUCGGUCCAUAUCCGGUGUAGGCGUUAGAGCAUUGAGAGGAGCCUUCCAUAGUACGAGAGGACCUGGAAGGACGCACCUCUGGUAUACCAGUUAUCAUGCCAAUGGUAAACGCUGGGUAGCUAUGUGUGGAGUGGAUAACCGCUGAAAGCAUCUAAGUGGGAAGCCCACCUCAAGAUGAGUGCUCUCUAUCAGGUCACAGGAAGACAACCUGUUUGAUAGGCAGAAGGUGUAAGGCCAGUAAUGGUUUCAGCUGAUCUGUACUAAUAGACCGAAUGAUUUU